GUAUUUAUAUUAUCUUUUUGGUCAUGAUAAUAUUUAUCUUUGGCACUUUUACAGUGUCCUGAAAGGCUUAGGAGGAAAUAGUAGAUGCAAAACGGUAAAGUAAAAUGGUUCAACAAUGAAAAAGGUUUCGGUUUUAUCGAAGUUGAAGGCGGAGACGAUGUAUUCGUACACUUCAGCGCGAUCACUGGCGAAGGCUUCAAGUCUUUAGAAGAAGGCCAAGAAGUUUCUUUCGAAAUCGUUGAAGGAAACCGCGGACCACAAGCUGCUAACGUAGUAAAACUUUAAUCUAUUAAUAACAAACCAAAGGCUGGCGUAUACCGUCAGCCUUUUUC
rnacentral:sRNA from 1 species